ensembl:lncRNA
CAGCCAGCCAACACGCAGCACACCAGGCACCUGAAAUCAAAGCGGCUAAAUUGAAUUCAGCCAUCAAUAAUUCCAUUAUUGGCACCUGUGCUUUUUCGACCAUGACAAGUCAAGAGGUGUUCUGUGGAAGGAAAGGCCGCCGUUAUCCAAAACACGGUCGAAUUUGAACAACCACAGAUCACAUCAGGUUUCCAAUCACAUAAAGGAAAAAUGACGAAGAAAGGGGAUCAAUCAGACUCUUAUCUUUCCGAAUGUCUCAAAGGACGUUUGGCUUAUUAGAAGAUAACGCAGUGAUGUUUCAGUAGAAAUUGUCUGUUAAAUCCAGGCACACCAAAAGGACAAGGCGCGUUCAAGUGCGCAGCGUCCCUUUCACACACGUCACCUUCACAUCCCGUCGCGACGACCAGCAGGAGUACUUCUGAAACAUGCAACGUGCGCCUCUAUACAAACGAUGAGCCAUGACACGUCGGUAACGCGUGCACUUACCCGUUCUCCACCGACUCCGGUGCGCUGCGCGCGCUGGUUCCACCGUCUGCAAACGGAGCUGUUUCCUGGCGCAGUUUUUUUUGUUUUGUUUUUUUUCCCCCCCAAACGCACGCAGCGUCAACGCUUCUUUGCUGCUGCUUCCAGCUCCAGCCACGCUGCUCCCGACCGAGUCACCAUCCGGAGGCGUGGCCGCGGCGGGAGGAGCGGGCCGGCUGACCACGUGCCGCUCCGCGAGUCAUGUUUUGCGUUGGAUGAUGAAUAAAAGGAGGUGAUGGUUGGCAACCGACAAACAAACUAAAGAGUCACGCGUGAACGUGUUGAUGCUACUCUGAAAAAAACGCAACAACAAAAGAAAAAAUUUACUGAAAAAAGUUAAUUUGUUGUAAAUGCGUCUCAACCACCUGUCGCGGGAAUGCACAUACGUUGAGUGAGUAGAGCUGACAAACUGAACAUGUUGCAAAAUUAUUUGGCUAUUUAAUGUUUAAUUAAUGUUGCUUAAGAUGUUGAAGCCACUACAACCACUCUGACAUGGUUGUGUCUUCAUAAAUGUAUUACAUUACACACAACAUUAGUUAUAUCCCAUCAGCGAAACAACGUGAAAUUGUUUCUGUUUCAACAAUAAUAUCACAGCAUUCAUUUAUUCAGUUAUCUGCAUCCUAAAGUCGAAGAUCAGUCA